UUUCCGUAGGUGAACCUGCGGAAGGAUCAUUAAUGAGUUGUCAUGGGGUUCGAUGCUGGCAGCCAAUUUUUGGAUGCAUGUGCUUGCCCUAACAAUCAUCUUCCAAACACCUGUGCACAUUUUUGAGUGAGUCUUGAGUUGGUUGCCGCUCUUGGGUGAUUUUCUCACAUUCCCUUAAAUCAUUAUACGCUAUUAACAAUGUUGAACGUGCUCUGUGCCGCAAGGCUAUUAAUAUAAUACAACUUUUAACAACGGAUCUCUUGGCUCUC
rnacentral:misc_RNA from 1 species